UACGGAGGGUGCUAGCGUUAAUCGGAUUUAUUGGGCGUAAAGGGCGCGUAGGCGGACGAAAAAGUCGGACGUGAAAUCCCAGGGCUUAACCCUGGAACAGCAUCCGAAACUUUUUGUCUAGAGGGUAGGCGGAGAAAACGGAAUUCCACAAGUAGCGGUGAAAUGCGUAGAUAUGUGGAAGAACACCGGUGGCGAAGGCGGUUUUCUAGCUUAUUCCUGACGCUGAGGCGCGAGAGCAAGGGGAGCAAACAGG
rnacentral:rRNA from 1 species